rnacentral:piRNA from 1 species
UGCACACUUUGUGUCUGUGUGACAGGCAGCCC